UUCACCACACACUUAACACAUUUACAUACCAGGACAUAAGCGGAUUGCACACAUCUCUGCCCUCCAGGAGGAGGCGUCCACCAGGCUAGCUGAAGGAAAGGCUGAACUAUGCUCUGCUCCCUCCUUGCCCUUCUCCUGGGCACUGUCUUAGGUGCCCGAGCCCAGACCAUCCAUCAAUGGCCAGCUAUCAAGGUGCAGCCUGUGGGCAGCCCUCUCUCCCUGGAGUGCACUGUGAAGGGGACAUCGAGCCCCACCCUCUUCUGGUACCGGCAGGCCGCAGGAGGGCCCCUCCAGCUGCUCUUCUACUCCGUUGGUGUUGGCCAGAUCACGCCCGAGGAGCCCCAGAACCUCUCAGCCUCCAGGCUCCAGGACGGCCAGUUCACCCUGAGUUCUGAAAAGCUCCUGCUCAGCCACUCCGGCUUCUAUCUCUGUGCCUGGAGUAUCACACUGAGCCGGGCAGGGCAGACGUCUGUGCAAAAACCUCACCCUCUCCUGAGUCCUAACCACCUUCCCCUAUAA